rnacentral:rRNA from 1 species
AGUGAACGCUGGCGGUAGGCCUAACACAUGCAAGUCGAACGGCAGCACAGUAAGAGCUUGCUCUUACGGGUGGCGAGUGGCGGCCGGGUGAGGAAUACAUCGGAAUCUACUUUUUCGUGGGGGAUAACGUAGUGAAACUUACGCUAAUACCGCAUACGACCUACGGGUGAAAGCAGGGGAUCUUCGGACCUUGCGCGAUUGAAUGAGCCGAUGUCGGAUUAUCUAGUUGGCGGGGUAAAGGCCCACCAAGGCGAGGAUCGGUGGCUGGUCUGAGAGGAUGAUCAGCCACACUGGAACUGAGAGACGGGCCAGACUCCUACGGGAGGCAGCAGUGGGGAAUAUUGGACAAUGGGGGCAAGCGUGAGACAGCCAGACCGCGGGGGUGAAGAAGGCGUUCGGGUGGUAAAGCCCUUUUGUUGGGAAAGAAAAGCAGCAGGUUAAUACCCCGCUGUUCUGACGGUACCCAAAGAAUAAGCACCGGCUAAUUUCGU